rnacentral:rRNA from 1 species
GUUAUAUGAUCAAGCGAAUAAGCGCAUACGGUGGAUGCCUUGGCAGUCAGAGGCGAUGAAAGACGUGGCAGCCUGCGAAAAGUUCCGGGGAGUUGGCAACAAGCAUUGAUCCGGAAAUGUCUGAAUGGGGAGACCCACCGCUUAGGCGGUAUCGUGCAGUGAAUACAUAGCUGUACGAGGCAAACCCGGGGAACUGAAAUAUCUCAGUACCCGGAGGAAAAGAAAUCAACCGAGAUUCCCCUAGUAGUGACGAGCGAACGGGGAGUAGCCCAAAAGUCGGUAUUGAGGUAGCAAAAUGGCCUGGGAAGGCCAACCAUAGCGGGUGAUAGUCCCGUAUGCGAAACCUCUUUAUUGAUGAUAAGUGAGUAGGGCGGGGCACGAGAAACCCUGUCUGAACAUGGGAGGACCAUCUUCCAAGGCUAAAUACUCCUGACUGACCGAUAGUGAACCAGUACCGUGAGGGAAAGGCGAAAAGAACCGCGGAGAGCGGAGUGAAAUAGAACCUGAAACCGUAUGCGUACAAGCAGUGGGAGCCCCUUCGUGGGGUGACUGCGUACCUUUUGUAUAAUGGGUCAGCGACUUAUUGUCUGUGGCAAGCUUAACCGUAUAGGGGAGGCGAAGGGAAACCGAGUCUGAAUAGGGCGUAUAGUCGCAGGCAAUAGACCCGAAACCGGGUGAUCUAGCCAUGCCCAGGGUGAAGGUGCCGUAACAGGUACUGGAGGCCCGAACCCACUCCUGUUGCAAAAGUAGGGGAUGAGGUGUGGCUAGGAGUGAAAAGCUAAUCGAACCCGGAGAUAGCUGGUUCUCCUCGAAAGCUAUUUAGGUAGCGCCUCGCACGAAUCUUCUUGGGGGUAGAGCACUGUUAUGGCUAGGGGGUCAUUGAGACUUACCAAACCAUUGCAAACUCCGAAUACCAAGACAGACUAUGCGGGAGACACACGGCGGGUGCUAACGUCCGUCGUGAAAAGGGAAACAACCCAGACCUACAGCUAAGGUCCCCAAGUCAUGGCUAAGUGGAAAACGAUGUGGAAAGGCAUAGACAGCCAGGAGGUUGGCUUAGAAGCAGCCAUCCUUUAAAGAAAGCGUAAUAGCUCACUGGUCGAGUCGGUCUGCGCGGAAGAUUU